rnacentral:tRNA from 1 species
GCCUUCGUGGUGCAGUGGUCAGCACGCUCGGUGCGUAUUCGAGAGGGCCGUGGUUCGAAUUCCGGAGAGGGCA